rnacentral:rRNA from 1 species
AUUGAACGCUGGCGGCAGGCCUAACACAUGCAAGUCGAGCGGAGCGGCGGACGGGUGGGUAAUGCCUAGGAAUCUGCCUGGUAGUGGGGGAUAACGUCCGGGAGCGGGCGCUUAUACCGCAUAAUUUCAGAUGAGCCUAGGUCGGAUUAGCGAGUGGGGGGGGUAAAGGCCUACCAAGGAGACGAUCCGUAACUGGUCUGAGAGGAUGAUCAGUCACACUGGAACUGAGACACGGUCCAGACUCCUACGGGAGGCAGCAGUGGGGAAUCGUCGACAAUGGGCGAAAGCCUGAUCAAGCCACGCCGCGUGUGUGAAGAAGGUUUUCGGAUGGUAAAGCACUGUAAUUUGGGAGGCGUUACCAAAAGAAUAAGCAACGGCUAACUUCGUGCCAGCAGCCGCGGUAAUUC